rnacentral:tRNA from 1 species
GCCUUCGUGGUGUAACGGAAGCACACACUCGGUGUGUAUUCGAGAAGCCCAGGUUCGAGUCCCGGAGAGGGCA